CAAACCAAUCCCACUUCGUCAAUUAUCCACCAAAUAUAAAAAAUCAAUUAUUUCACAUACCAAUUGUUCAUCACAAAAUAAUAAUCAAAACACAAUUUGAUUUCAGUGAAACAAUUGUAAAGAAUUCAUAUUAAUUCUUCAGUUAUGAUAUAUAGGUUUUCCACAUUCAUCAUACCAUACUAGAGAUAAUAUGUGUUAGGCUUUGAGACAUCGGAAUCAUUGUUAUGGUUAUGCCUGUAUGACAUCGUCAUGGUGAAUGGAAGCAUAGUUGUUUUGGUUCGUGAUAACCAUGUCAGCUUGUUGGUACCAAGACUGAAGAAGGCGCGGGACAAGCAGUAUUUAUAAAGCUUAGCUAUUGGUUGAAAUUAAGGCGACAAUGUGGCUAUUGCCUGAAGUGAAAAGUGAAAACUGAAUUGGCUAGCAGAGAGUGCAGUGGAGUUGGUAACGAUCUUGCGAGCUAUGCUUGAUUCUGUAACACAGUUGGAUGGGGGAAUUCCUCGUCUAGUGUUCGAUAGAAAAAUCCUAAGUUGAUGUGUAAACAAAACUCUCCUUUCCAUUAAAAAAAAAAGGAAAAGCGCCCUCCAUUGUGAUCUCUUCGAAGACGAUGAAUUUUAUAUGGGCUGGUUUUACGUUUUUCCAUUGAUUGAACAAAUGAGUAUGUGAAAUAUAAUUGUUCAUUGUUCAUUGUUCAGUCUCUAUAUGCAAGUAAGAAAGAAGAAUACAAUAGAAUCAAAACAAUGUAGAUGCUUAUUCCCGCUUGCUCAUCUCAUGCCGCCAUGAACAUUUAGCUGAUUAUAGUUAUUUUCUGUGCAACAUGGUUGAGUUUGAGGUUUUGAGCC